CAUGUUGCGGUAGUUGUCCAGGCGGGGUAACGCCUCUCUGGUGAAGUGCCUGUGGAGAGGAGUCGGGUUAUAAUUGAAAAGGUUCGACGGCGAAGCAGAGGAUACACAGAGAAAAAUAGUCAAAAGCAGGCCUAACUAGAGGUUGGGAGCAAUGCAAACUGACCGGAAACUUUUACCAUAUUUUGUGUCGUACUCGUUGUCCAGCAGCUCGCGCUCCUCCUGCGAGUCAUUGGAAUCGUCGGACUCCUCAUUUUGGGGGUCCACCUGGAAGCGGGUCGUCGUCUGCAGAUCCUUGAACCUGGAUGGUUUAUCCUUGUCGCGGAAACUGCUUUUGAUUGAUUGCCUAGGAAUGAGGGACAAAGCAAAUGAUAUUAGAUGGCUAAUUAAUUUAACGUUACAUCUCCCUUAUUCCAGCCCAUUGUUGCCGCUGGUUACCACUUUAAUUGGGAGUUGAGCACAAAAGUUCGGAAUUAGAUUUAAAACUCGCACACCCAGUGAACAUGGAUUCAAUAAGCAACUCCGCUGCAAAUAACUUUCAUUAUCAGCCAAUUCAGUUCGAUGAAAUUAAAUUGAAUUUAUUUCGAUUUAGUUGCCUUCCCAGGCAUUCCAAGGCCUGCACUUUCUGAUUGCCGUCCAUUGUGCGGAGGCCCUAGAUGAUUCGUGUCAGUCAGUCUGUAAAGGAGCAGACGGCCCCAGGACACGCCCACGCGCCUUAAAGGACAUUCAACCCCGAUCUGCCCGCCCGCCAGCGAUUAUGCGUUGCAUGGAAGAGCGUCUGACAUUCUGACAUCCUGACACCCUGACACCCUGCUGGUUGCACCCGUUAAUGGAAAGCUUAAGCUCAAGUACGCCGGAAUCUACGAAAACUUUUUAAACUUAAAAUGAGCAACUGCGAACUUAAAACUCUUUAAAUUAUGUGAACUGUGAGCUGCAGAGCAGCAAUAAAGCUUAAAAACAUGUUUUGCGCAUCGAAAUGCAAAUUACUAGUUUCAGGAAAUGCAAUAAAAUGAGAAGAUAAAAUGCAAGCAACACGAGCAUGAAAAUACUAAAA